rnacentral:lncRNA from 1 species
GUGGGAUAGCGGGGUUGUGGGGGGGUGGGAGUUGCUACUUUCUAGCCAUUUGGCAGAGAGACUAGCUAGCACUUGCGGGCAGAGCCUGGGUUCUUCUCAGAACAGCCUUCUCACAGCGCUGCUGCCUGGAAUGGGCACAUUCUGAAAGCCCUGGCCUAGUUUGACAGUGAGACUCUAAGCUUAGCUCACUGCCCACCCUGAAGCAGCACCACCCCAUGCCUGGUCCCCGGUGUCCAAGAGCACCCCAAGGGGAAAGCUGCAAUGGUGUCACCACCACGAAGAUCUUGGGGAAGCCAGGUGUCUGCAGCAUCUCUGCCACUCGAGCAAGCUGGGCCCGGCCUCUACAGCCCCAUGGUGGUGACCCAGGGCCCCAAGACCACUGGGAAGCACCUUCUCCUCUUCCAUAACUGGCUGUUCCCCAGCAAGGAGAGGUGAGUCUAGACAGUCACUGACUGCCUCCCUCUCUGCUAAGUCUCUGUCCAAAACCCUGAGAGAUUCCUCCCUACCAGCUCCACAUGAGUGUGUCUGGGCUGCCUGUGUCAUCAAACAGUGUCCUAGGAGGUCCCCAAAGUGGAGACAGGGAACU